rnacentral:rRNA from 1 species
GACGAACCGAGCGAACGUUGUUCGGAAUCACUGGGCUUAAAGGGCGCGUAGGCGGGCUGUCAAGUCUGGGGUGAAAUCCCGCGGCCCAACCGUGGAACUGCCUCAGAUACUGACGGCCUCGAGGGAGGUAGGGGCGAGCGGAACUGUGAGUGGAGCGGUGAAAUGCGUUGAUAUUCACAGGAACUCCGGUGGCGAAGGCGGCUCGCUGGACCUUUUCUGACGCUGAGGCGCGAAAGCUAGGGGAGCAAACGGG